UUAAUAUGGCAGAAAAGUGCAAUAGAUUUAAACUCUAUAUAUAAAGUCUCUAAAAUCUUUUAUUAAA
rnacentral:tRNA from 1 species